UGAAAGGGGCCUGGCUGAUGGCAAACA
rnacentral:piRNA from 1 species